rnacentral:rRNA from 1 species
UAAGACGAACCGAGCGAACGUUAUUCGGAAUCACUGGGCUUAAAGGGCGCGUAGGCGGGCGGUCAAGUCCGGGGUGAAAGCCUCCAGCUCAACUGGAGAAGUGCCUCUGAUACUGGCCAUCUUGAGGGAGGUAGGGGCGUGCGGAACUUCCGGUGGAGCGGUGAAAUGCGUAGAUAUCGGAAGGAACACCGGUGGCGAAAGCGGCGCGCUGGACCUCUUCUGACGCUGAGGCGCGAAAGCCAGGGGAGCAAACGGGAUUAGAUACCCCGGUAGUCCUGGCCCUAAACGUUGGGUACUAGGUUGUGGACUUUCAUGGGUUCACAGCCGAAGCAAAAGUGUUAAGUACCCCGCCUGGGGAGUAUGGUCGCAAGGCUG